rnacentral:rRNA from 1 species
UACGGGGGGGGCAAGCGUUGUUCGGAAUUACUGGGCGUAAAGAGCGUGUAGGCGGCUUGGUAGGUCCGCUGUGAAAACUCGAGGCUCAACCUCGAGAUGUCGGCGGAAACCACUUGGCUAGAGUCCGGAAGAGGAGAGUGGAAUUCCUGGUGUAGCGGUGAAAUGCGCAGAUAUCAGGAAGAACACCUAUGGCGAAGGCAGCUCUCUGGGACGGUACUGACGCUGAGACGCGAAAGCGUGGGGAGCGAACAGG